rnacentral:rRNA from 1 species
CGUCUAUAUACGUAUAGCAUAUCAAUAAGCGGAGGAAAAGAAACUAACUAGGAUUCCCUCAGUAACGGCGAGUGAAGCGGGAAGAGCUCAAAUUUGAAAUCUUCAAGGUUCUACCUUGACGAAUUGUAGUUUAAAGAAGUGUUUUCUGUUGGAGUUUUGGUAAAAGUUCUUUGGAAUAGGACAUCAUAGAGGGUGAGAAUCCCGUAUUUGACCAUUAUUUCCAACUUUGUGAUACACUUUCAAAGAGUCGGAUUGUUUGGGAAUGCAGUCCAAAAUGGGUGGUAAAUUUCAUCUAAAGCUAAAUACUGGCGAGAGACCGAUAGCGAACAAGUACCGUGAGGGAAAGAUGAAAAGAACUUUGAAAAGAGAGUUAAACAGUACGUGAAAUUGUCAAAAGGGAAGCGUUUGACACCAGUGUUGUUUUCUCGAAAAUCAAUUAAAAAUGGCGGGAUUUUGUGUUGUAUUGACUUUAUCAGCUUUCUGCACUCUUUUCCUUGUCUUUUUUAAUGCACUUUUCGUUUAACAAGUCAACAUCAAUUUCUUUUGUUGUAAAAGGGUCAUUGGAAGGUGGCUUUCUUUUCGGAGAAAGUGUUUAUAGCCUUUGGCUUCUGCAAUCGGAGAGAUUGAGGUCUGCAGCGUAGAUCCUUCGGGGUUAGAUAGCAUUUGUGCUAAGUUAUAGCCUUUCAUAGACAACUUGUUGACUAUGAUCAGUCAUGUAGCUUACUCGCUUAUGUUAUUUUACCUACGCUUAGGAUGUUGACGAUCAGCUGAGCGCG